rnacentral:tRNA from 1 species
ACAUCGGUAGCACAGUGGUUAGCGCAAUCUGUCGGAAACAGAUGGACGAGGGUACAAUUCCCGUCCGAUGUC